CCUACGGGGGGCAGCAGUGGGGAAUAUUGCACAAUGGGGGAAACCCUGAUGCAGCAACGCCGCGUGAACGAAGAAGGCCUUCGGGUCGUAAAGUUCUUUGAUUGGGGACGAUAAUGACGGUACCCAAAAAACAAGCCACGGCUAACUACGUGCCAGCAGCCGCGGUAAUACGUAGGUGGCGAGCGUUGUCCGGAUUUACUGGGCGUAAAGGAUGCGUAGGUGGAAACUUAAGUGGGAUGUGAAAUCCCCGGGCUCAACCCGGGAACUGCAUUCCA
rnacentral:rRNA from 1 species